ensembl:lncRNA
AGAGCAACAGCUGGGCUAAGGAGGACGCCAGCUGAGCUAACCGAUGGUAACCCCGACAACGAUAACUAUAACGACUCCGCCCGUCCAGGACAGCCAUCAGAUCCAGUUACCAUGGAGAGCAGUUCAUCUCCACCGGCAACACACACGGAUAGUGAAAACUCGGGGCAAAGCCUUUGGGGCGACCAGGAAGCGGAGGAGCACCAUUACACAGAGGUCCAUGGGCUGAAGCAGCCAAUCGGGGACGAGCAGGACGAAGAAGAGGCUGCAGGGAAAGAAAAUGUCGUCAGGGAUGCAGAUGAGUGUGAUUACCUUGUGUUUGCAAUCGGAGAGCGAAAUGGGAAUGAUAAAGGAGAUGAAAGUGGACAGGACACGGGUAGAGGAGGAGAUAAGGUAGAAGAUGGAGCAGCCCAUGGAGGCCAUGUUGCAAGAGGCCUUAGGUCACAACAUUGGCGAAAGAGAUGACCUCAGUGACGUCCAGCACACAGGCUUCCCCCAAGCUGAGCUGGCUAGUGUGUACUCGGACAGCGACGCAGGGGACGGCCAGUGGGCUAGCUUUGCACGCUGUGAUGUCACCAACCAGGAAGAAGCAGGCGGAGGAAUUCACAAUACCACCUGUGAAGGAGAGAGCAAGGAAGAGGAGGGAGGAGGAGCCGAUAAGGGGAGAGCCGAAGAACAGUUUGAGGCAGAAGAAGCGAGUGAAACACAGGACCAAAGGGAGGAGGAGGAGGAGGAGGAGGAGGAGAAGGAGGAGGAGGAGGGGAGCAGACACGUGGAUGAUGAAGAGCAGAUGACGUCCAGGAGAGAUCUAUUUCCACGCACACCUUCUGUCAGCUCCACGGGCAGCUCCACAGAGCCUGACAGAAAGGCUCCCGUGGAUCUCUGUGUCCAAGAAGAGGCCCACAGUGGAAACGUCUCCACUGAGCAUGUGGACUUUCUGUUGGCCCGACAGCAGUGGAGGAAGAUGGAGGAGGAGGUCAAAGGUCAGCCAAUCCCCAAACCAGGCCUCAGAGCUCAGGGGAGCUUCCAGGGCACCCACAGCUCCCUGUACCCGCCCACUCGCAGCCCCCGACUCAAACACAGGGAGAUCCAUCCUGCAGCGGCCAUGGAGCCCACGCUGUCCUCCACCCUGUCCUCCACCCUGUCCCCCGGCUCGGAGGACUCGGGCCUGGAGGAGCCGGAGAGUGCAGUGGAGAGAGAGAUCCGCCGGACUCUGGAGAGGGAGGAAUGCCACCGGAGAGAGAGGGGGGGGGUCACACAGGGCCUCACCGUACCCAGAGCCUCCACCGGGCAGAGCGGACGAUCUCCCCCCAGACCUCCAGCGUGCCGCACCCCUACACUGUCCAUCUCCCCUUCUCCUUCCUCUUCCCUUCCCCGAUCUGUCUACCAUGAGAUGACGGCCAAUAAUGUCAUUAUCCUGGAGCCCGGCUGCUCCGGCUCCACCUCCAGAAACCUCUUACUCUCCUCCGCCACCGAUUGGCCGCUUAGCCAGGAUGCUGUGCCCUCCGCCAACGUCAUCGUCGUUGAGACCUCUAACGUGAUCAUUCGCAGCGCAUCCGAAUUCUGUCUAAGCUCCGCCCCCGUGUCCGCGGAGACCCAGGAGAGCACCUUCUCGUCCAAUCCGUUCUUUAAGCUACGCUCAAUCAGCAGCCAAUCGCUGGUGGAGCGGGAGAUCCGCAUGGUGAGGCAGAGGGAGGAGGAAUGGAGGAGGCAGCGGGAGGAGAUGUGGAGGAGGAGGAGGGAGGAGGAGUGGAGGAGAGGGAGAGAGAGGUACGACACCGUGCUGGUGUCUCCUGGCCUGAGCGAUAACAUCAGCUACAACGUGCCAGAGGUCCUAGAUAGAUGUGUGUCCUCUCCUUCGUCCCCCUCCAGGACCCGCAAAAUGGAAAGAUCCAGCAUGUCUUGUGACCACAAGUUCCCCUCAUCCCUCUCUCUGACGCCGAAGCGACCGAACGCCAUGGCGCAGCGAUGGGAGGCCUCCCUAUUAGCCAAUCAGAAGAAGGAGUGA